AUGGAUUCAAACUCUCUUACCCUCUUCCAGCACGCAGACCCCCAAAUAUGCUGGGGACCCCUGAGGCCUCCCUGCAAGCUUGAGGACCUCCACAGCCCUCCUCCCAGACUGGGGAUCCCAAUGGCCUCCUCCCAGGCUGGGGACCCUCACGCCUCCUGCCCCAGGCUGGGGGCCCACAGUCUCCUCCCAGGCUGGGGAGCCCAGUGGCCCUCCCCCCAGAAUGGGCCCCCCCCGCAGCCCUCCCCCCAAGCUGGGGACCCUCACGCCUCCCACCCCAGGCUGGGGGCCCACAGUCUCCUCCCAGACUGGGGAUCCCAAUGGCCUCCUCCCAGGCUGGGGACCCUCAUGCCUCCCACCCCAGGCUGGGGGCCCACAGUCUCCUCCCAGACUGGGGAUCCCAAUGGCCUCCUCCCAGGCUGGGGACCCUCAUGCCUCCCACCCCAGGCUGGGGGCCCACAGUCUGCUCCCAGACUGGGGAUCCCAAUGGCCUCCUCCCAGGCUGGGGACCCUCACGCCUCCUGCCCCAGGCUGGGGGCCCACAGUCUCCUCCCAGGCUGGGGAGCCCAGUGGCCCUCCCCCCAGAAUGGCCCCCCCCUGCAGCCUCCCCCCAGGCUGGGGACCCUCACGCCUCCCACCCCAGGCUGGGGACCCCAGUGGCCCUCCCCCCAGGCUGGGGGCCCACAGUCUCCUCCCAGACUGGGGAUCCCAAUGGCCUCCUCCCAGGCUGGGGACCCUCACGCCUCCUGCCCCAGGCUGGGGGCCCACAGUCUCCUCCCAGGCUGGGGACCCCAGUGGCCCUCCCCCAGGAUGAGGCCCUCCCCUGCGGCCCUCCCCCCAGGCUGGGGACCCUCAUGCCUCCCGCCCUAGGCUGGGGACUAGCACAGCCACAGCUCUGGUGAGCUAGGCAGCUCCUUGGCCCCUGCAAGUCUGCAAACCUGCAGGGCCCUCCUCAAAUUUCUCCUCCACUGGCCCGCAUCCUGUUUGCUAGACUGCUGUGCCUUCUGUCAGAGACCUUCACUUCCACAAACCCAUGCCUUUCUGCCUCACAACCUACCCGCUGCCUCAGAAAUCCUGCUCUCCGCCCCAGUCCCUCACCCCUUCCUCUCUGCGGACCCUUCCCUCGAUGUAGCAAGCAAGCUUAAGUCUGUCUCGGUUUCAAAAUGAAAACACCAACAAAAAUCCUCUCUCCACCCCACUUUCCAUUCUGGCGACUGCCGCGGACCCCUGGACAAUGCAAGGUCAGGGGCACCCGCCCCUCUCCCCAGGCUGUUGAAAAUCUGAGCGUAACUGCUGACUCCCAAAGACCUUAGUAACACACUACAGUUGACAGGAGCCUUACCGAUGACACUCGACUAAUGCGUAUUUGCACGUUAUAUGUACUAUGCACUGUAUUUUUACAACAAAGCCAGCUAGAGAAAAGAAAAUGUUAAGAAAACCAAAGGAAAAUACAUUUACAACGCUGUGCCGUACUCAGGGGAACCACAGGCACAUAAGGGGACCUGUGCGGUUCAAACCCUAAUGUCAAGGCCCAGGUGGUGCCUGCGUCUCACCUUGUCUUCACCGCCAAGGGCCUUGGGUGAGACCCCCCUGUACAAUUACAUUCAGCCAGCACCACUUAAAAGUGCUGUCGAUAUCGUUAACGCCAACGCCUUCUUCCCCACAACCAGGGGAAAUUACAUUUGGCCCUGGCGCCUCUUAGAUAUGUCCCAGUCCCCUGGCUACUGUGAUGCCACCCUCUGGGGAGUCCUGUCUCCUUUCUAGAGGUUCCUUCACAGAAUCAGCCUCUUCGUUACCCUUAGCGUGACGUCGGCAACCUUCCUGAUCCCAGGGCUGGUGGCCAUCUCUACCGACUUGGGCGCUUGACAAA
ensembl:lncRNA